GGCCUUCGGGUUGUAAACUGCUUUUGUACGGAACGAAAAGGCCCUGGUGAACAACCGGGGUUGCUGACGGUACCGUAAGAAUAAGCACCGGCUAACUACGUGCCAGCAGCCGCGGUAAUACGUAGGGUGCGAGCGUUGUCCGGAAUUAUUGGGCGUAAAGAGCUCGUAGGCGGUUUGUCACGUCUGCUGUGAAAACCCGAGGCUCAACCUCGGGCCUGCAGUGGGUACGGGCAGACUAGAGUGCGGUAGGGGAGAACGGAAUUCCUGGUGUAGCGGUGGAAUGCGCAGAUAUCAGGAGGAACACCGAUGGCGAAGGCAGUUCUCUGGGCCGUAACUGACGCUGAGGAGCGAAAGCGUGGGGAGCGAACAGGAUUAGAUACCCUGGUAGUCC
rnacentral:rRNA from 1 species